GCGCACCUUCGGGUGAGCGGCGGACGGGUUAGUAACACGUGGGAACGUACCCUUUUCUACGGAAUAGCCUCGGGAAACUGAGAGUAAUACCGUAUACGCCCUUUGGGGGAAAGAUUUAUCGGAGAAGGAUCGGCCCGCGUCUGAUUAGGUAGUUGGUGGGGUAAUGGCCUACCAAGCCUACGAUCAGUAGCUGGUUUGAGAGGAUGAUCAGCAACACUGGGACUGAGACACGGCCCAGACUCCUACGGGAGGCAGCAGUGGGGAAUCUUAGACAAUGGGCGCAAGCCUGAUCUAGCCAUGCCGCGUGAGUGACGAAGGCCUUAGGGUCGUAAAGCUCUUUCGCUAGGGAAGAUAAUGACUGUACCUAGUAAAGAAACCCCGGCUAACUCCGUGCCAGCAGCCGCGGUAAUACGGAGGGGGUUAGCGUUGUUCGGAAUUACUGGGCGUAAAGCGCGCGUAGGCGGAUCAGAAAGUUGGGGGUGAAAUCCCAGGGCUCAACCCUGGAACUGCCUCCAAAACUCCUGGUCUUGAGUUCGAGAGAGGUGAGUGGAAUUCCGAGUGUAGAGGUGAAAUUCGUAGAUAUUCGGAGGAACACCAGUGGCGAAGG
rnacentral:rRNA from 1 species